AGCGUACACGGUGGAUGCCCUGGCAGUCAGAGGCGAUGAAGGACGUGCUAAUCUGCGAUAAGCGUCGGUGAGGUGAUAUGAACCGUUAUAACCGGCGAUUUCCGAAUGGGGAAACCCAGUGUGUUUCGACACACUAUCAUUAACUGAAUCCAUAGGUUAAUGAGGCGAACCGGGGGAACUGAAACAUCUAAGUACCCCGAGGAAAAGAAAUCAACCGAGAUUCCCCCAGUAGCGGCGAGCGAACGGGGAGGAGCCCAGAGCCUGAAUCAGUGUGUGUGUUAGUGGAAGCGUCUGGAAAGGCGCGCGAUACAGGGUGACAGCCCCGUACACAAAAAUGCACAUAUUGUGAGCUCGAUGAGUAGGGCGGGACACGUGGUAUCCUGUCUGAAUAUGGGGGGACCAUCCUCCAAGGCUAAAUACUCCUGACUGACCGAUAGUGAACCAGUACCGUGAGGGAAAGGCGAAAAGAACCCCGGCGAGGGGAGUGAAAAAGAACCUGAAACCGUGUACGUACAAGCAGUGGGAGCCUCUUAAUGGGGUGACUGCGUACCUUUUGUAUAAUGGGUCAGCGACUUAUAUUCUGUAGCAAGGUUAACCGAAUAGGGGAGCCGAAGGGAAACCGAGUCUUAACUGGGCGUUAAGUUGCAGGGUAUAGACCCGAAACCCGGUGAUCUAGCCAUGGGCAGGUUGAAGGUUGGGUAACACUAACUGGAGGACCGAACCGACUAAUGUUGAAAAAUUAGCGGAUGACUUGUGGCUGGGGGUGAAAGGCCAAUCAAACCGGGAGAUAGCUGGUUCUCCCCGAAAGCUAUUUAGGUAGCGCCUCGUGAAUUCAUCUCCGGGGGUAGAGCACUGUUUCGGCAAGGGGGUCAUCCCGACUUACCAACCCGAUGCAAACUGCGAAUACCGGAGAAUGUUAUCACGGGAGACACACGGCGGGUGCUAACGUCCGUCGUGAAGAGGGAAACAACCCAGACCGCCAGCUAAGGUCCCAAAGUCAUGGUUAAGUGGGAAACGAUGUGGGAAGGCCCAGACAGCCAGGAUGUUGGCUUAGAAGCAGCCAUCAUUUAAAGAAAGCGUAAUAGCUCACUGGUCGAGUCGGCCUGCGCGGAAGAUGUAACGGGGCUAAACCAUGCACCGAAGCUGCGGCAGCGACGCUUAUGCGUUGUUGGGUAGGGGAGCGUUCUGUAAGCCUGUGAAGGUGUGCUGUGAGGCAUGCUGGAGGUAUCAGAAGUGCGAAUGCUGACAUAAGUAACGAUAAAGCGGGUGAAAAGCCCGCUCGCCGGAAGACCAAGGGUUCCUGUCCAACGUUAAUCGGGGCAGGGUGAGUCGACCCCUAAGGCGAGGCCGAAAGGCGUAGUCGAUGGGAAACAGGUUAAUAUUCCUGUACUUGGUGUUACUGCGAAGGGGGGACGGAGAAGGCUAUGUUGGCCGGGCGACGGUUGUCCCGGUUUAAGCGUGUAGGCUGGUUUUCCAGGCAAAUCCGGAAAACCAAGGCUGAGGCGUGAUGACGAGGCACUACGGUGCUGAAGCGACAAAUGCCCUGCUUCCAGGAAAAGCCUCUAAGCAUCAGGUAACAUCAAAUCGUACCCCAAACCGACACAGGUGGUCAGGUAGAGAAUACCAAGGCGCUUGAGAGAACUCGGGUGAAGGAACUAGGCAAAAUGGUGCCGUAACUUCGGGAGAAGGCACGCUGAUAUGUAGGUGAAGCGACUUGCUCGUGGAGCUGAAAUCAGUCGAAGAUACCAGCUGGCUGCAACUGUUUAUUAAAAACACAGCACUGUGCAAACACGAAAGUGGACGUAUACGGUGUGACGCCUGCCCGGUGCCGGAAGGUUAAUUGAUGGGGUUAGCGGUAACGCGAAGCUCUUGAUCGAAGCCCCGGUAAACGGCGGCCGUAACUAUAACGGUCCUAAGGUAGCGAAAUUCCUUGUCGGGUAAGUUCCGACCUGCACGAAUGGCGUAAUGAUGGCCAGGCUGUCUCCACCCGAGACUCAGUGAAAUUGAACUCGCUGUGAAGAUGCAGUGUACCCGCGGCAAGACGGAAAGACCCCGUGAACCUUUACUAUAGCUUGACACUGAACAUUGAGCCUUGAUGUGUAGGAUAGGUGGGAGGCUUUGAAGUGUGGACGCCAGUCUGCAUGGAGCCGACCUUGAAAUACCACCCUUUAAUGUUUGAUGUUCUAACGUUGGCCCGUAAUCCGGGUUGCGGACAGUGUCUGGUGGGUAGUUUGACUGGGGCGGUCUCCUCCUAAAGAGUAACGGAGGAGCACGAAGGUUGGCUAAUCCUGGUCGGACAUCAGGAGGUUAGUGCAAUGGCAUAAGCCAGCUUGACUGCGAGCGUGACGGCGCGAGCAGGUGCGAAAGCAGGUCAUAGUGAUCCGGUGGUUCUGAAUGGAAGGGCCAUCGCUCAACGGAUAAAAGGUACUCCGGGGAUAACAGGCUGAUACCGCCCAAGAGUUCAUAUCGACGGCGGUGUUUGGCACCUCGAUGUCGGCUCAUCACAUCCUGGGGCUGAAGUAGGUCCCAAGGGUAUGGCUGUUCGCCAUUUAAAGUGGUACGCGAGCUGGGUUUAGAACGUCGUGAGACAGUUCGGUCCCUAUCUGCCGUGGGCGCUGGAGAACUGAGGGGGGCUGCUCCUAGUACGAGAGGACCGGAGUGGACGCAUCACUGGUGUUCGGGUUGUCAUGCCAAUGGCACUGCCCGGUAGCUAAAUGCGGAAGAGAUAAGUGCUGAAAGCAUCUAAGCACGAAACUUGCCCCGAGAUGAGUUCU
rnacentral:rRNA from 1 species